rnacentral:tRNA from 1 species
UUAGCUGAAACCAAAAAAGAGGUAUACUACUGUUAAUAGUAAAAAUGAAAAUUAUUUUCCAGUUAAU